rnacentral:lncRNA from 1 species
CCGAGCAGCUGAUCUUCUCCAUGCAUCGUGCACACUUGACUCCAAAGAUCCGCUCGUAAUCGGUCCGACAAUAGAGUUUUAAUUCGCGAAUGAAACAAGAAUGAAUUAAAGGUGUCGCACACGCGGCGCAUGACAGACAUUCCUCAUGGUAGUUUCUUCCAGCUACUUGCAUCACGUACUUGUCGACUAUGGUGCGACCGCAACCGGCGCAAAUCGUUUCCAAAAGGCCUGAUUCCGUCUUCACUGAUACUGACGGCUCUGAAAUCAGUAAUUGAACUUUUUUUAUAAUAUUUUGAGUAAUAUGUAUUAAGGACGAAAUGGAAUCGGAGGUGCAGCAGAUCCCAUAGUCGGCGGACCCGACUCACCCUGCCGGUUCAAGCUACCUGGUAGCGGAGGGUAGAAUUCCAACAUGGUUCCUUAUGCCCUCGAGUUCUCAAUUUCUCAAUCUCCCCACCACUUUUUCACUAUUUGCACUUCUCAACAAUUUUUUCCUCCUUUAAUUCUCCUUUUUUUUUUCAAUAAUCUUUAAAGAAUCAACUUUAAUCCCUGUGAUUCCUUUUGGACCAUCAAAAAGUUCCAAGUCAUCAGAAUCCAAAUUCACAAAUAUCAAUGAAAUAACAAUCUAUCCAAACCUCUAUAUCUAUAUCAAUCUCCACGUCUAUCCAAGUUUAAGGAUCUCUUUGAUCACCAAGAUCCAAGUUCACAAUUUCAAUAAUACAACAAGUAUAACUUGUUUCAUAUAUCUAUAUUCCAAGUCUGUUCAAGUCUAAAAGUCUCUCUAGUCACCAAGAUCUAAAUUCACAAUUUCAAUAAUACAAAUGUAAUCUAUUUUGUAGAUCUAUCGACUUCACAUCUGUUCAAGUCAAAAAGUCUCUCUUCAGUCACCAAGAUCCAAGAUUAAUAAUUUCGAAGAAACAACAAGUAUAAUCAUAAAUCUUCGAUUUCACCGUCUGUCGAAUACGAAGCUCAAGACACAAAUAGAAAUCCGAGUUCACAAAAUCGAGCGUCCUCGAGAUCGAGUCAUUCCCGAUCAUUCAACCCUCUCCUGUCCUUCGACGCGGUGACAGGUCUCAAGAAAGGAUCCCAUGGUCAACUCGAGUCAUCCUGACGGAUUUCCAAGCCCAGUGAAAUUUCGAUCCUCCGUUUGAUACCAUCCUGACGCGAACUUUGUCUCUUUUUGAUUAUUCCGUACCACGAAGGGUUUUCGUUCUUGACGUUCUGGUACAGUACUGGACGAUACGUGACAGUUGAUACGUGUCAGCGGCCCGAACUCUCAGGCUUUUUUGAUGCCAGCCACCGCAUCGACAGUGAAAAUCAUUCCCCACCCACCUGCGCCGCGAACGACGAUCGACUAGAGGGUGAGAAUCGAGGGCGGGACGUUGAAGGCUCGCUAAGGGAGACAAAAGCUGCGAUGUGAUUGGUUUGAAUUGGAACCGCCCCUCGAUGAAAGGUUGUGGAGAGGGUGAGUUGGUAAUCGCGGUGCUCAACUGGUUGCGCGAUGUUUCCGGAGAUCAAUAUCUCGCGACAGUGACGUAUAAUGUUGGUGAAGGACUUGGGAUUGUUACCUUGAAUUUGGAAUUGUUGAGGAUUUGUUGGUCAUGAAUGCUUAGAGUAAAUGAUGGAUUAUGUAAUGGAGUGAUGGAGAUUUGUGAUUUCAUAGACUUAAUGUUUGCAUACAUAUGAUGAAAGAAUUAAAUAUGAAUUAUUUUGGAUCAAGUCAGAAUUAAAUAGGUGAGUGAAGAACUUGAGAUUAUUUUGAAUUUGAAAUUAUUGAGAAUUUAUUAAUGAAUGGUUAAUCUUAUUGAGAAUAUAG